rnacentral:lncRNA from 1 species
AGGCGAGACAGAUGUGGGCAGGCCCGGGGCCUGAGCCUGUGCAGCUCCUCCGUCACCUGAGUGAGAACCACCCCGUGACGUGGGCGUGCAGAUGCAUGAACGUCCAUCGGAUGCACACGUGCUGAACGCUGAGGCUAGGCCGUCGGGGUCAUGCCACAUGCGAGCACCGACAGGGCCUCGGGCGCACACACACCGCUGGAGGGCGGGGCCGCAGGGGAGGCCAGCCCAGGACACGGGACACAGGAAGGCCCGGGACCAGGACACGGGACACAGGAAGGCCCAGGACAUGGGGCAUGGGAAGGACACUGGGCAUGGGAAGGACACAGGGCACAGGCACAGGAAGGGCCAGGCCACAGGGCACGGGAACCCUCAGGACAUGGGGCACAGGAAGGACACAGGUCACAGGCACAGGAAAGGCUGGGACAUGGGGCACAGGUACCCUCAGGACAUGGAGUAUGGGAAGCCCCAGGAAUGGGACACGGGAAGGAUACAGGGCAUAGGAACCCCAGUAUAUGGGGUACAAGAACCCUCAGGACGUGGGGCACAGGAAAGACACGGGGCAUGGGUGUGUGUGGUGUGUGCAGUGCAUGCAUGGUGUAUGUAGUGCAUGUGUGCGUGUACAGUGCAUGCACAGUGGGCAUGGUGUGGGUGUGCGUGUGCAUGGUGGGUGGGUGUGUGCGCACAGUGUGCAUGUGCGUUCAUGGUGCAUGUGUGGUGCGUGUGUGGCGUGGGUGUGUGUGCGGUGCAUGCGGUGUGUGAGUGUGCACAGUGGGCGCGGUGUAUGCAGUGGGUGUGCAGUGUGUGCACGCAGUGGGUGUGCAUGUGUGCGCAGUGCGUGAAUGGUGUGCACAGUGUGCGCGGUGCAUGUCUAGUGGGUGUGCGCAGUGUGCAUGGUGCACGCGUGCUGGGUGUGCACAGUGGGCGCGGUGGGCACGUCACCUCCCGUGCACACCCGCCGUUCCGAGGCCCAACGUGUCCUCCCCCUUCGGCUCUGCGCGGUGGGUGUCAGCACGACCCCGCUUCCUCCGAGACCUCGGGCCUUCGUGGCGGCCGCUGGUGGCUCGGGGCCCCCACGGACUCGGUCGGGGCCGCGGGGAGGCUCCGGCUCGUCCGGGUCCCGUGUCCUUGGUGCUGGGCCCCGCGCUAGGGCCGCGACGGCCGGGCGCUCCGAGCCGGGUCACCGACCUGCCCGCCCCGGUCCGCGCCCUCCAGGCCUCCCGAGGGGACCCUCCGCCCACGGGGCCUCCUCCGGGAACGGCCCAUCUCCCGCUGGUGCACGUGCGGAGGCCGCGGUCACGGGCGCCGGCCCCAGGGUCAGCCGGGGUCUGGGGCCGGGCUCCCUCCCCCCCUCCCGGCGUGGGCGCGUCCGAGAGCCUCAGGGCGCCGCCUCCAGGUCUGCGGUUGCUCCACAGGUGAGAGCACACACCUUGCCUGGGCGCGGGGGCCUGCGAGGGCCGGGAUUGCCCGCAGGAGUCAUGGGGCCAGACCGCCCUUGUCACUGCCCAACGUUACUUUUGCAACUCUUCUACCCCAGAACUCUUCUACCUCAGAAGCUAUUUCCCUUAAAAAUAUUAAGAUUACAAUGCUUAAAUGUUCAAGCGAUAUCCAUCAGGUCAAGACUUAAAGGAGAAGCAUUAAUUUGGAAAAACAUAAAAAUAAAAAACCUGAACUAG